AUUGAACGCUGGCGGAAUGCUUUACACAUGCAAGUCGAACGGCAGCACGGACUUCGGUCUGGUGGCGAGUGGCGAACGGGUGAGUAAUAUAUCGGAACGUAUCCAAUAAUGGGGGAUAACUAAUCGAAAGGUUGGCUAAUACCGCAUACGUCCUACGGGAGAAAGCUAGGGACCUUCGGGCCUGGCGUUAAUGGAGCGGCCGAUAUCGGAUUAGCUAGUUGGUGAGGUAAAGGCUCACCAAGGCGACGAUCCGUAGCUGGUCUGAGAGGACGACCAGCCACACUGGAACUGAGACACGGUCCAGACUCCUACGGGAGGCAGCAGUGGGGAAUUUUGGACAAUGGGCGCAAGCCUGAUCCAGCCAUUCCGCGUGAGUGAAGAAGGCCUUCGGGUUGUAAAGCUCUUUCGCAAGGGAAGAAAACUUACCCUCUAACAUAGGGUGAGGUUGACGGUACCUUGAUAAGAAGCACCGGCUAACUACGUGCCAGCCGCCGCAGUAA
rnacentral:rRNA from 1 species